rnacentral:rRNA from 1 species
UGGGGAAUUUUGCACAAUGGGGGAAACCCUGAUGCAGCGACGCCGCGUGAUUUAGAAGGCCUUCGGGUUGUAAAAAUCUUUUGUAUAGGAAGAAAAUGACAGUACUAUACGAAUAAGGACCGGCUAAUUACGUGCCAGCAGCCGCGGUAAUACGUAAGGUCCGAGCGUUGUCCGGAAUCAUUGGGCGUAAAGGGUACGUAGGCGGGUAAGCAAGUUAGAAGUGAAAUCCUAUAGCUCAACUAUAGUAAGCUUUUAAAACUGCUCAUCUUGAGAUAUGGAAGGGAAAGUGGAAUUCCUAGUGUAGCGGUGAAAUGCGCAGAUAUUAGGAGGAAUACCGGUGGCGAAGGCGACUUUCUGGCCAUAAUCUGACGCUGAGGUACGAAAGCGUGGGUAGCAAACAGG